CAGCGAUUGGCCGGUGGGGAGCAGUGCUCAUGGAGACACAGAGGGGGGAAGUGCUGCCGGUCGUCUCUCUCACUUGACAGACGCUGUUCUUUAAAGAUGAUGGAUCCAAUUGGUUGUGUAGCUGCCCUGCUGAAGACCAGUUCGCUGCCUCUGGUCGUCAGCGUGGGUCACCUUAUUGGCUGAGGAUGACGACUUAAAGAUGGAGGAUCCAACAAAUGACCCGAGAGAUUUCUGGUGAACGGCCUCUUGCUGCGCUGCCCUGCACCACACUGCACCAGUCCAGGAAAUAUUAUUCAGGACUUUGUGGUGGGUGGUUACCACUAAGCUGGACUUGCUGCUGCCGCCCUGGAGAGCCUGCUGCUGCUGCCGCCCUGGAGAGCCUGCUG